GAGUAGCGAGAUAGAGGUGGGAAUCCUCUAGGCCGAAUAUCCAAGGUUUCCAGGGUACCUGAUCUGCCCUGGGUGAGUCGGGACCUAAGGUUGGGCGGGAGCCGUAGCCGAUGGACAACAGGUUGAUAUUCCUGUACUGCAGUAUAACAGAACUGUGGGGACACGUAAGGAGAGCGGGAGCCGGGAAUGGAAAGCCCGGUACAAGCGAGGUACCAGUACGGUAGGAAAAUCCGCCGUGCAAUGGGAAGACGUGAUGUGGAGUGAAAUAUAGUAACGAAGCCCGUGAGCCAUGCGUCAAGAAAAGCCGCUAUUGUUUAUACUGUACCCGUACCGUAAACCGACACAGGUGGAUGAGGAGAGAAUCCUAAGGCCGGCGGAAGAAGUAUUGCCAAGGAACUCGGCAAAAUGGCCCCGUAACUUAGGGAGAAGGGGUGCCUGCGAGAGCAGGCCGCAGAGAAUAGGCUCAAGCAACUGUUUAGCAAAAACACAGGUCUAUGCGAAACCGAAAGGUGAGGUAUAUGGGCUGACGCCUGCCCGGUGCUGGAAGGUUAAGAGGAGAGGUUAGACGCAAGUCGAAGCUUUGAAUUUAAGCCCCAGUAAACGGCGGCCGUAACGAUAACGGUCCUAAGGUAGCGAAAUUCCUUGUCGGGUAAGUUCCGACCCGCACGAAAGGCGUAAUGAUUUGAGCGCUGUCUCGGCAAUACAUCCGGUGAAAUUGAAGUGCCAGUGAAGAUGCUGGCUACCCGCGCCAGGACGGAAAGACCCCAUGGAGCUUUACUCCAGUUUGGCACUGGGGUCCGGUGUUGCAUGUACAGGAUAGGUGGGAGGCUGAGAGAUAGUGACGUCAGUUGCUAUGGAGCCGCUGUUGGGAUACCACCCUUGUGAUAUUGGGCUUCUAACCAGCCGCCGUGAACCGGCGGUGGGACAAUGCCAGGCGGGGAGUUUGACUGGGGCGGUCGCCUCCGAAAGGGUAUCGGAGGCGCCCAAAGGUUCCCUCAGAAUGGACGGAAACCAUUCGAAGAGUGCAAAGGCAGAAGGGAGCUUGACUGCGACACCGACGGGUGGAGCAGGUACGAAAGUAGGGCUUAGUGAUCCGGUGGUAUUAAGUGGGAAUGCCAUCGCUCAACGGAUAAAAGCUACCCUGGGAUAACAGGCUUAUCACUCCCAAGAGUUCACAUCGACGGAGUGGUUUGGCACCUCGAUGUCGGCUCAUCGCAUCCUGGGGCUGUAGUAGGUCCCAAGGGUUGGGCUGUUCGCCCAUUAAAGCGGUACGCGAGCUGGGUUCAGAACGUCGUGAGACAGUUCGGUCCCUAUCCGGCGUGGGCGCAGGAUAUCUGAGAGGAGCUGUCCUUAGUACGAAAGGACCGGGAUGGACGGACCGCUGGUGGACCGGUUGGCUUGCCAAAGCCAUGGCCGGGUAGCCAAGUCCGGAAGGGAUAAACGCUGAAGGCAUCUAAGCGUGAAGCCCCCCUCAAGAUGAGAUAUCCCAUUCUUUAAGAAGUAAACCCCCUUGAAGACGACGAGGUAGAUAGGGCAGAGGUGGAAGUGUGGUAACACAUGGAGCUGACUGUUACUAGUCGGGUGAGGGCUUGACCG
rnacentral:rRNA from 1 species